rnacentral:rRNA from 1 species
GAUGAACGCUGGCGGCGUGCUUAAUACAUGCAAGUCGAACGGAGACAUUGUAGCAAUACUUUGUCUUAGUGGCGAACGGGUGCGUAACGCGUUGGUGACCUGCCCCAAAGUGUGGGAUAACAGUUCGAAAGGACUGCUAAUACCGCAUGUGGUCACGAGGGUUAGAGGCUUCGUGACUAAAGCAGUAAUGCGCUUUGGGAGGGACCUGCGUCCCAUCAGCUAGUUGGUGAGGUAACGGCCCACCAAGGUUACGACGGGUAGGGGACCUGAGAGGGUGGUCCCCCACAUUGGCACUGAAACACGGGCCAAACACCUACGGGUGGCAG